UGGGGAAUUUUGGACAAUGGGCGAAAGCCUGAUCCAGCAAUGCCGCGUGUGUGAAGAAGGCCUUCGGGUUGUAAAGCACUUUUGUCCGGAAAGAAAUCCUUGGCUCUAAUACAGUCGGGGGAUGACGGUACCGGAAGAAUAAGCACCGGCUAACUACGUGCCAGCAGCCGCGGUAAUACGUAGGGUGCAAGCGUUAAUCGGAAUUACUGGGCGUAAAGCGUGCGCAGGCGGUUUGCUAAGACCGAUGUGAAAUCCCCGGGCUCAACCUGGGAACUGCAUUGGUGACUGGCAGGCUAGAGUAUGGCAGAGGGGGGUAGAAUUCCACGUGUAGCAGUGAAAUGCGUAGAGAUGUGGAGGAAUACCGAUGGCGAAGGCAGCCCCCGGGCCAAUACUGACGCUCAUGCACGAAAGCGUGGGGAGCAAAACAGGAUUAGAUACCCUGGUAGUCCACGCCCUAAAACGAUGUCAACUAGUUGUUGGGGAUUCAUUUCCUUAGUAACGUAGCUAACGCGUGAAGUUGACCGCCUGGGGAGUACGGUCGCAAGAUUAAAACUCAAAGGAAUUGACGGGGUCAUAGCUGUUUCCU
rnacentral:rRNA from 1 species